GUUCCCGUAGCUCAGUGGAUAGAGCAACUCUUUCCUAAAGAGUAGGUCGUAGGUUCGACUCCUACCGGGGACG
rnacentral:tRNA from 1 species